rnacentral:rRNA from 1 species
UUCGUGUGAACAGUGGUUGAUCACGAGUUAGUCGGUCCUAAGUUCAAGGCGAAAGCCGAAAAUUUUCAAGUAAUAUUUAAUGAUUGAAUCAUGAUAAUUUAUAUAUAAUAUAUAUAUAUUUUUUGACUUAUAUUUUUAUGAAACACUUGAAUAAUUUUGAACGAAAGGGAAUACGGUUCCAAUUCCGUAACCUGUUGAGUAUCCGUUUGUUAUUAAAUAUGGGCCUCGUGCUCAUCCUGGUAACAGGAACGACCAUAAAGAAGCCGUCGAGAGAUAUCGGAAGAGUUUUCUUUUCUGUUUUAUAGCCGUACUACCAUGGAAGUCUUUCGCAGAGAGAUAUGGUAGAUGGGCUAGAAGAGCAUGACAUAUACUGUUGUGUCGAUAUUUUCUCCUCGGACCUUGAAAAUUUAUGGUGGGGAUACGCAAACUUCUCAACAGGCCGUACCAAUAUCCGCAGCUGGUCUCCAAGGUGAAGAGUCUCUAGUC